rnacentral:lncRNA from 1 species
UUACAUACAUAUAACCAUGGUUACAUGCUUAUGACUUUUGAGUCUCAUAACUCAUAUGUUAUAAGAGGGGGGGUUAUGGUUCCCAUAAGAAUGCAAGACAUUCUUUUCUUCCUCCCAUUGAAACUAGAGAGCAUUUUGGUCUUGCAUAUCAAGUGGAAAACCAAUCCUCAAUUUUUGGUCUUGGAUAUAUUCUUGUGAAAGC